CUGACAUUUGGAUAACUUCAUUACAAACCUCCCUCCAACCUGCAACAUGUUCAUUGACUAUGAACUCCUAAGAUGUUGCCAGACUUGAUGAGAUUUAAUUCAUUUUUGGCAUAAAAAGUUCAAUGCAAUUGUGCAUCCAUUCAGCAGUUGAAAGGACCCCCAGCACCUACGGUCUGCAAAGAAAUAAUCAAUUACUUUCAAGUUAAUUGUUGCUGAGUUCCAUUAGUUGAAGUUGUGUUUGCUGUUUACUGAAGUAAGCAUAGAGCAAAGAAUGACUGAAAGAAGAGGAGACUGAAAACUAGUAAUACAGGCACAUUUUGACAUCCACCAGCAAAUACCUAUAUACUUAUUCUUCCAAGAAAGACAUCAAAGCCUCACACGAGCCAAAGAAAAUGUCGUAUUUCUUUUGUGAAACUAUGAUGUAGAUCUGAAUCCCAUCAUUUCCCGUAAAUACCAAUUCAGUGUCACUGAUCUUUCAGGCUGUAUGUCAUCAGCCAAGUCACUGUCCACAGAUGACUCAAAUCGAUGCCUAUUUGCUCGAGUUAUCCAGUUGAUAACUUUUCUUAUGGACAAUGUUUAACAGAUGACAGAUAUCUGUGCAUCUAUCCCAUAGCUCCCUCUUCCUCAAUAGUACUGAGAUACUUCCUUUAUGAGCAGUAUACGAUCUCCCUACUUUUUCCUGCCAAAAUUUCUUAACUCAUUGUUCUACAUAAUGAAGUUUACUAUUCAACAAUAUGGGAGACUUGACAUAGUUGCAAAUGUUGAAAUUGUGCUUCUGAUCCCACGUCUAAAUUAUUUAUAUAAAAGUGUGAGCAUAUAUAUGAAUAAUAACUGGUUUUCAAGGCAGUGUGAAGGAUUGGAGAUGUGAAAUAUGUUUAUUAUGUUGUCCUCACGGUAGAAUCGGUGACUGCAUGCUCUCCCCUGGAAGACUAUCUAAAUUCUUUGAAUGUUUUUGUUACUGACUUGUCAAGAGAGGAUUGGUGGAAAUGAUAUUGAUCACUGAGCUCAUUUUCUUCCAUUAGGUCCAUAUCAUUCUCUUUGUAGAUUUCUUCCCCUGCAUCUGUUAAGAUUUUCUGUCACUUCCCACUUGUUUGAAAACUAAACCUCUACUGAGGACUGUGAGAAUGAGUUCAGUACAGAUAUACUUAAGACCUACCUCUUUCAGUAAAUCUUUCAAUUGCUUGCUUUCUGAUUUGUAAUAAUGCAAUUAAAUACAAUACAGCAGCAUCAGAUUUUCCUAUCUACCAGUGAGUGUCCAAUAGAGAGCAAGAAUAUUGCUGGGAUUAGAACGGUGUA